CAACAACUGUGAUAUUGUCAAGUGGAAAAAUUUAUAAGAUUGAAAUAAUCCAUCCUUUGAAUAUUCUACAGAACUUGCCUGAAACCAUUGGUCCCUAGUUUUUUCAAGGGAAGGCAUGCAUGCCCCACUGCAUCCCUGCAAGUGCAGAACCAGUCUUCAGCAGCGACGCUUAGCGGCUGAAGUGUGAUACAGUUCUGCCGUCCUUUGAACAGUGCAAUUCCUCAGAGUUCCUGGACAAUUCAGAAUCGGUGAACCUCAAAAGUGAAAUACUACAAUUCCUAAAAAUACAUGUAAAUGGGAUCUCAAUUGAUCUAUUGAAAAAUUAAAAUUCAUUUAUUAUUGUACCCUAAGCUGGGAAAACAGACUGUUUCCUGUACAGUGUACACAUGAUUGCACUCUUGCUGGAUUUUCAUAAUGGCUUCUUUUUUUUUUUUUUCUUGAGACAGAGUCUUGCUCUGUUGCCCAGGCUGGAGUGCAGUAGUGUGAUGUCGGCUCACUGCAACCUCUGCCUCCGGGGUUCAAGCGGUUCUUCUGCCUCAGCCUCCCAAGUAGCUGGACUUCAGGCGCACGCCAUCACACCCGGCUAAUUUUUGUGGGGUUUUUUGUUUGUUUGUUUGUUUGUUUUUUAGAUGGAGUCUCACUCUGUCACCCAGGCUGGAAUGCAGUGGCGUGAUCUCAGCUCACUGCAAGCUCCGCCUCCCGGGUUCAUGCCAUUCUCCUGCCUCAGCCUCCCGAGUAGCUGGGACUAUAGGCACCCACCACCACGCUUGGUUAAUUUUUUGUAUUUUUAGCAGAGACAGGUUUCACCAUAUUGGCCAGGCUGGUCUCAAACUCCUGACCUCAUGAUCCACCCAAGGUGCUGGGAUUACAGGUGUGAGCCACCACGCCCGGCCGAUAACUGCUUCUUAAUGACUUUCUUUGUUCCCUUUCAUUCUCUCUCUUUUCCAAUAUUUUCUCCAUAUUUGUAUAUAAAGUUAAUCUUCCUAAAAUAUCAACUUUGCCCAAAAAGUUUGCAACAGCUUAUUAUUGCCAACAAAACAGAAUCAGCUUCCUCAUCCUGUGAUUAGAUACUCUCCAUAAUCUGACUCCUAAAUCCUGAAGGGAGGUAAGAAAGAAU
rnacentral:lncRNA from 10 species